UGCCAGACUCCUACGGGAGGCAGCAGUGGGGAAUAUUGCACAAUGGGGGAAACCCUGAUGCAGCGACGCCGCGUGAGCGAUGAAGUAUUUCGGUAUGUAAAGCUCUAUCAGCAGGGAAGAAGAUGACGGUACCUGACUAAGAAGCCCCGGCUAACUACGUGCCAGCAGCCGCGGUAAUACGUAGGGGGCAAGCGUUAUCCGGAUUUACUGGGUGUAAAGGGAGCGUAGACGGCGAUGCAAGCCAGAUGUGAAAGCCCGGGGCUCAACCCCGGGACUGCAUUUGGAACUGUGUGGCUGGAGUGUCGGAGAGGCAGGCGGAAUUCCUAGUGUAGCGGUGAAAUGCGUAGAUAUUAGGAGGAACACCAGUGGCGAAGGCGGCCUGCUGGACAGUAACUGACGCUGAGGCGCGAAAGCGUGGGGAGCAAACAGGAUUAGAUACCCCAGUAUA
rnacentral:rRNA from 1 species